UGGGGAAUAUUGCACAAUGGGGGAAACCCUGAUGCAGCGACGCCGCGUGAGCGAAGAAGGUUUUCGAAUCGUAAAGCUCUGUCCUAUGAGAAGAUAAUGACGGUAUCAUAGGAGGAAGCCCCGGCUAAAUACGUGCCAGCAGCCGCGGUAAUACGUAUGGGGCGAGCGUUGUCCGGAAUUAUUGGGCGUAAAGGGUACGUAGGCGGUUUUUUAAGUCAGGUGUUAAAGCGUGGAGCUUAACUCCAUUAAGCACUUGAAACUGAAAGACUUGAGUGAAGGAGAGGAAAGUGGAAUUCCUAGUGUAGCGGUGAAAUGCGUAGAUAUUAGGAGGAAUACCGGUGGCGAAGGCGACUUUCUGGACUUUUACUGACGCUCAGGUACGAAAGCGUGGGGAGCAAACAGG
rnacentral:rRNA from 1 species